GUCUGGGUGGCUCAGUGGUUGAGCGCCUGCCUUUGGCUCAGGUCAUGAUCCUGGGGUCCUGGGAUCGAGUCCCACAUCAGGCU
rnacentral:tRNA from 1 species